GUGGAUUCAGUGCAACGGAUCAAACUUUUCUUGUGCAAAUGCAACAGGACUGAACUGUACUACUGUUUCACACUGUUUUUGUAACAUCACCAAUACAACUUCAUCUAUUGCUUCAAGUACUCCAGUUCUCUCAACAAUCAGUACACCAGGUACAACACAUGCUACUGAG